GAUGAACGCUGGCGGCGUGCUUAACACAUGCAAGUCGAACGGAGAAACGGUAGCUUGCUAUCUUUUUUAGUUGGCGGACGGGUGGAGUAACGCGUGGGUAACCUGCCCUUUGCAGGGGGAGUAACAGUGAGAAAUCGCUGCUAAUACCGCAUACCAACUUCUUUCGCAUGAAAGAAGUUUGAAAGAUUUAUCGGCAAAGGAUGGACCCGCGUUGGAUUAGCUAGUUGGUGAGAUAACAGCCCACCAAGGCAACGAUCCAUAGCCGGCCUGAGAGGGUGAACGGCCACACUGGGACUGAGACACGGCCCAGACUCCUACGGGAGGCAGCAGUGGGGAAUAUUGCACAAUGGGCGAAAGCCUGAUGCAGCGACGCCGCGUGAAGGAUGAAGGUCUUCGGAUUGUAAACUUCUAUCAGCAGGGAAGAAAGGGCUUAUAGCCUAUGACGGUACCUGACUAAGAAGCCCCGGCUAACUACGUG
rnacentral:rRNA from 1 species